rnacentral:tRNA from 1 species
AGAGAGAGAACUCAGUAGGUAAGAGUGUUUGCUUUGCAAGCAAGAAGGUCAGAUUUUGAAUCUCACUG